GCGUUGGCCCAAUUGAUUGAUGGUGCUUGCACCUGAUUGAUUUUGGUCGCCAACGAGUGGCGGACGGGUGAGUAACACGUAGGUAACCUGCCCAGAAGCGGGGGACAACAUUUGGAAACAGAUGCUAAUACCGCAUAACAACGUUGUUCGCAUGAACAACGCUUAAAAGAUGGCUUCUCGCUAUCACUUCUGGAUGGACCUGCGGUGCAUUAGCUUGUUGGUGGGGUAAUGGCCUACCAAGGCGAUGAUGCAUAGCCGAGUUGAGAGACUGAUCGGCCACAAUGGGACUGAGACACGGCCCAUACUCCUACGGGAGGCAGCAGUAGGGAAUCUUCCACAAUGGGCGCAAGCCUGAUGGAGCAACACCGCGUGAGUGAAGAAGGGUUUCGGCUCGUAAAGCUCUGUUGUUAAAGAAGAACACGUAUGAGAGUAACUGUUCAUACGUUGACGGUAUUUAACCAGAAAGUCACGGCUAACUACGUGCCAGCAGCCGCGGUAAUACGUAGGUGGCAAGCGUUAUCCGGAUUUAUUGGGCGUAAAGAGAGUGCAGGCGGUUUUCUAAGUCUGAUGUGAAAGCCUUCGGCUUAACCGGAGAAGUGCAUCGGAAACUGGAUAACUUGAGUGCAGAAGAGGGUAGUGGAACUCCAUGUGUAGCGGUGGAAUGCGUAAAUAUAUGGAAGAACACCAGUGGCGAAGGCGGCUACCUGGUCUGCAACUGACGCUGAGACUCGAAAGCAUGGGUAGCGAACAGGAUUAGAUACCCUGGUAGUCCAUGCCGUAAACGAUGAGUGCUAGGUGUUGGAGGGUUUCCGCCCUUCAGUGCCGGAGCUAACGCAUUAAGCACUCCGCCUGGGGAGUACGACCGCAAGG
rnacentral:rRNA from 2 species